rnacentral:rRNA from 1 species
AUUGAACGCUGGCGGAAUGCUUUACACAUGCAAGUCGAACGGCAGCACGGGGGCAACCCUGGUGGCGAGUGGCGAACGGGUGAGUAAUACAUCGGAACGUGCCCAGUCGUGGGGGAUAACGUAGCGAAAGUUACGCUAAUACCGCAUACGAUCUACGGAUGAAAGCGGGGGACCGUAAGGCCUCGCGCGAUUGGAGCGGCCGAUGUCAGAUGAGGUAGUUGGUGAGGUAAAGGCUCACCAAGCCGACGAUCUGUAGCUGGUCUGAGAGGACGGCAAGCCACACUGGGACUGAGACACGGCCCAGACUCCUACGGGAGGCAGCAGUGGGGAAUUUUGGACAAUGGGCGCAAGCCUGAUCCAGCCAUUCCGCGUGCAGGACGAAGGCCUUCGGGUUGUAAACUGCUUUUGUACAGAACGAAAAGGUUUCUACUAAUACUAGGAGCUCAUGACGGUACUGUAAGAAUAAGCACCGGCUAACUACGUGCCAGCCGCCGCCGUAA